AACGAACGCUGGCGGCAUGCCUAACACAUGCAAGUCGAACGAGACCUUCGGGUCUAGUGGCGCACGGGUGCGUAACGCGUGGGAAUCUGCCCUUGGGUUCGGAAUAACAGUUGGAAACGACUGCUAAUACCGGAUGAUGACGUAAGUCCAAAGAUUUAUCGCCCAGGGAUGAGCCCGCGUAGGUUUAGCUAGUUGGUGGGGUAAAGGCCUACCAAGGCGACGAUCCUUAGCUGGUCUGAGAGGAUGAUCAGCCACACUGGGACUGAGACACGGCCCAGACUCCUACGGGAGGCAGCAGUGGGGAAUAUUGGACAAUGGGCGAAAGCCUGAUCCAGCAAUGCCGCGUGAGUGAUGAAGGCCUUAGGGUUGUAAAGCUCUUUUACCCGGGAUGAUAAUGACAGUACCGGGAGAAUAAGCCCCGGCUAACUCCGUG
rnacentral:rRNA from 1 species